GUGUGUGUGUGUGUGUGUGUGUGUGUUCGCGCACUAUGCCGGGACUUACGACACGUAUAAGGUUACACACGAGCAACCUACGACAUUUUCAGAACCUACGACACAAAAGUGUGUCGUAGGUUUGCAGACCCCUUGAAAUCGGAAUUUUUCAUCGUGUUUUACCCAGAAAAUACAAAAUUUUGUAUAGUGUGAGUUUCCGGGUUACACACGACUUUUGUUACACACAACACCGAGCCAUAAUGGGGUGCUUACACACUUUGCAUCCUUGCCAUAUUCGCGCAUGCGCAAAAAAAACUUCCUACGGAAACAAGGUCGAGUGGAUGACAAUGCAAAUUUGACGCAACAGAUUAUGAGAUACAGAUGAAACAUGCAGGGAACCAUGUAAAUGAUUCUGAAAGUGGCUACCCAGGUGCUGUUUAUAAGAAAGCUUGUAAUAGGAGUGGAAAACCACCCAAAAACUAUGUGUCUCAAAAUGCCAGUAGAGACAUAGAAAGAAGAGAGGAACUAGCUGGGAUAUCAUUAUGAAGAACCUAACCUCCUUGGAGUCAAACUAUAUUCAGAGGGAAUGCAGAUACUGAGGCACCCUAGCUCAUCUAGGAAGUCGGGAAGAAAAAAGCGAGCCAAUGUUCAGUGCCACACUUGGACCACUGCAGAAAAGGCAGCUUUGUAAAGACAAUUUGAGACUUUUAUCAAACUAGGAAAAACUCUGGCUCAGGUUGACUGUCUAAAAUCCAUUUGGAAGGAGAAAUCGCUGUCCAGUUUAACAUGGUGUCGUGGAAAGUUUGCUGUUAAAAAUAUUACUUCCUGGCAGAGGUGUUACAAAGAGUUAAUCCAAUUUUUAUGCCCCCUCCAUUUGAAGGAGAGGGGACGUAUAUAUUGUUUUACAUGACUAAUUCGGUCUGUAGAGCAAAUCUUGUCUGCUCAAUAUCUAAUGAAUUCUUUUUGCUUGACUGUUUCCAAACUUGGUACAAUGAUUGCCCCUAGAUAGUGAAUGAACCAUAUUAAUUCACAGGUCACAGGGUCAAGGGUCAAACUGGACACAGUAAGAUAUUGUCUGUUCAAUAUCUUGAGAACGCUUUCCUGACAGACAUCAAACUCGGUAUACUGGUUUCUUUUAAGAAGUAGGUGGUUUCUUUUAAGAAGUAGAUGGUUUCCUUUAAGAAGUAUAUGUCCCAUAAUGUCCCAUAUUCAUUUUGAAGUCACAAGGACAAAGGUCAAACUGUACAUAAUAAAAUAUUGUCCACUGAAUAUUUAAAGAACCAACCCUUUACCUGACAGUUACUAAACUUGGUACAGCGGUUGCCCCUAGAGAGUAGAUGACCCCUACUGAUUUCCAGAUCCCAAGGUUGAAGGUAAAAUUGGACAUAGUAAGAUACCGUCUGUUCAAUAUUUGAGAACCAUUCGCUUGACAGACAUCAAACUUGGUUCACUAAUUUUCCUUAAGAAUUAGAUACCCCAUGGAUUUUGAGGUCACAAGGUCAAGGGUCAAACUGGACAUGACAAGAUAUUGUCUGCUCAAUAUAUUGAGGACUCCUUGCUUGACAGAUAUCAAAUCAGGUACACUGGUUCUACCUAAGGAGUAGAUGACUCCAUUUGAUUUUGAAGUCACAAGGUCAAUGGUCAAAAUACUACGGACAUAGGUAUUGUCUACACAAUAUCUUGAGUUUACGUUUCUUGACAGACAUCAAACUUGGUACACUGACACAUCAUAAGUGUAGAUAUCUAGUAUUCAUUUUAAGGUCAAUGGUCAAACUACUCUGGACAUCAGAUUUUGUCCAUUCAGUAUCUUGAGAACCCUUGUUUGACAAACAUCAAACUUGGUAGUCUGGUGCCGCCUAAAGAAUAGAUGGCUCCCAUUGGUUUUAAACUCUGAAGGUCAAAGGUCAGGACUCAAAUAACUGGUUAUUUGAAAAUAUCUGCUCAGUACCAUUAGAGAUCACAUAUAAUGGUUGCCUCUGACUAAUAGAUACAUUGUAACUUUUGCUACAAACAUUCUAAAUGAUCAUUUUCCAUUUUGUAAUAUGGAGGGCAUAUAUGUUUCUUAAAUCUUUCUUGUAAAUGGUUUUGAUACUAGUUUUAUAUACAAGAUGUAUUAUCAGCAUUUGUCAUUCAUUGUAAACCAUACAUUGGUUCAUUCAAAAUUGAUAAAUAUAUAAUCAACAGCAGUACACAUGAAAUAAUUCUCCAUAUAUAUCUUGAAUUGAACAAAAAGUUUAAUGGUAUUCCAAGGCCUUAUAUUCAUGUGCGAUUGAAAGACUGAAUGAAUAUACUAAGAUAAUAUAACAGUAUUUAACUAAAACUAAUUGCAGUUUAACACUAAUGUACUUAUAAUGUAAUUGAUAGUACCACGCUCUUACUUGUAACUUGUUUUCAUUUAUAUUCAAUAGAUAUUUCAAGUUUGAUAGCUAACUCAAAUUUCAAAUAUGAAUGAACAUUAAGUGUCUGCUGUUUUAAGACUAAAGAGUAGCUUUAUUUACAUCAUAUGAGGUUUUUUGAGCUAAAUUGAUCAGCUUUGUAUGCUUAUGAAAUAAAUAUGUACACCUAUA